rnacentral:rRNA from 1 species
CUUGAAUAGUAUGGAAGUAACUAGAAUAUGUAGUGUAGCGGUGAAAUGCUUAGAUAUUACAUGGAAUACCAAUUGCGAAGGCAGGUUACUACGUACUUAUUGACGCUGAUGAACGAAAGCGUGGGUAGCGAACAGGAUUAGAUACCCUGGUAGUCCACGCCGUAAACGAUGGAUACUAGCUGUUCGGACUUCGGUUUGAGUGGCUAAGCGAAAGUGAUAAGUAUCCCACCUGGGGAGUACGUUCGCAAGAAUGAAACUCAAAGGAAUUGACGGGGGCCCGCACAAGCGGUGGAGCAUGUGGUUUAAUUCGAUGAUACGCGAGGAACCUUACCAGGGCUUAAAUGUAGAUUGACAGGUUUGGAAACAGACUUUUCUUCGGACAAUUUACAAGGUGCUGCAUGGUUGUCGUCAGCUCGUGCCGUGAGGUGUCAGGUUAAGUCCUAUAACGAGCGCAACCCCUAUUGUUAGUUACCAGCGCGUUAAGGCGGGGACUCUAGCAAGACUGCCGGUGCAAACCGUGAGGAAGGUGGGGAUGACGUCAAAUCAUCACGGCCCUUACGUCCUGGGCUACACACGUGCUACAAUGGCAAGUACAGAAAGCAGCUACCUGGCAACAGGAUGCGAAUCUCCAAAGCUUGUCUCAGUUCGGAUUGGAGUCUGCAACUCGACUCUAUGAAGCUGGAAUCGCUAGUAAUCGGAUAUCAGCCAUGAUCCGGUGAAUACGUUCCCGGGCCUUGUACACACCGCCCGUCAAGCCAUGGAAGCU